UAAGCCUUAGGAUCUCCGUCUGUGAGAUGCGGAUGAUAAGGAAGACUUUGAAGGACUGCUGAGAAUUCUCUAAGAAGACAGAGUGUACAGCCUAGUGCACAGUGGCUUUCAGAAGACCUUGAGGAUGAAUUUGAAGACAUCAAGUAGAAAUGCUCUGUGGAUGCAUACGGUGAGAUAUUAGAAGAGAAUCAGAGCUCAAGAUGCAGAAAAGGAGGGAAUCAGCCAUGUGGACAUGAUCUCUAAAGCUAUGAGAGGGAGUCUGGUUGCCAGGGAGAAGAUGUCCAAGUGGAGAGGGAAGUGAA
rnacentral:lncRNA from 1 species